GUUCUCCAUAUGGUUCUCCAAACAUGUGCUUCUCGAUCACGGCCAAAGAUCGAAACAUAUUCACCAUGCAGCUCUCCAAACACGCACUACUCGACCACGACCAAAGAUCGAAAUAUGUUCUCCAUACAAAUCUCUACCAUACGUUCCUCGAUCAUGAUCGAGGAGCGGUAUGCAUCUCUAUAUGGGUCUCCAUCGUGCGCUCUUCGACCACGAUCAAGGAGC
rnacentral:lncRNA from 1 species